rnacentral:rRNA from 1 species
UUAAGCGACUAAGCGUACACGGUGGAUGCCCUGGCAGUCAGAGGCGAUGAAGGACGUGCUAAUCUGCGAUAAGCGUCGGUAAGGUGAUAUGAACCGUUAUAACCGGCGAUUUCCGAAUGGGGAAACCCAGUGUGUUUCGACACACUAUCAUUAACUGAAUCCAUAGGUUAAUGAGGCGAACCGGGGGAACUGAAACAUCUAAGUACCCCGAGGAAAAGAAAUCAACCGAGAUUCCCCCAGUAGCGGCGAGCGAACGGGGAGCAGCCCAGAGCCUGAAUCAGUGUGUGUGUUAGUGGAAGCGUCUGGAAAGGCGCGCGAUACAGGGUGACAGCCCCGUACACAAAAAUGCACAUGCUGUGAGCUCGAUGAGUAGGGCGGGACACGUGGUAUCCUGUCUGAAUAUGGGGGGACCAUCCUCCAAGGCUAAAUACUCCUGACUGACCGAUAGUGAACCAGUACCGUGAGGGAAAGGCGAAAAGAACCCCGGCGAGGGGAGUGAAAAAGAACCUGAAACCGUGUACGUACAAGCAGUGGGAGCACGCUUAGGCGUGUGACUGCGUACCUUUUGUAUAAUGGGUCAGCGACUUAUAUUCUGUAGCAAGGUUAACCGAAUAGGGGAGCCGAAGGGAAACCGAGUCUUAACUGGGCGUUAAGUUGCAGGGUAUAGACCCGAAACCCGGUGAUCUAGCCAUGGGCAGGUUGAAGGUUGGGUAACACUAACUGGAGGACCGAACCGACUAAUGUUGAAAAAUUAGCGGAUGACUUGUGGCUGGGGGUGAAAGGCCAAUCAAACCGGGAGAUAGCUGGUUCUCCCCGAAAGCUAUUUAGGUAGCGCCUCGUGAAUUCAUCUCCGGGGGUAGAGCACUGUUUCGGCAAGGGGGUCAUCCCGACUUACCAACCCGAUGCAAACUGCGAAUACCGGAGAAUGUUAUCACGGGAGACACACGGCGGGUGCUAACGUCCGUCGUGAAGAGGGAAACAACCCAGACCGCCAGCUAAGGUCCCAAAGUCAUGGUUAAGUGGGAAACGAUGUGGGAAGGCCCAGACAGCCAGGAUGUUGGCUUAGAAGCAGCCAUCAUUUAAAGAAAGCGUAAUAGCUCACUGGUCGAGUCGGCCUGCGCGGAAGAUGUAACGGGGCUAAACCAUGCACCGAAGCUGCGGCAGCGACGCUGAUGCGUUGUUGGGUAGGGGAGCGUUCUGUAAGCCUGCGAAGGUGUGCUGUGAGGCAUGCUGGAGGUAUCAGAAGUGCGAAUGCUGACAUAAGUAACGAUAAAGCGGGUGAAAAGCCCGCUCGCCGGAAGACCAAGGGUUCCUGUCCAACGUUAAUCGGGGCAGGGUGAGUCGACCCCUAAGGCGAGGCCGAAAGGCGUAGUCGAUGGGAAACAGGUUAAUAUUCCUGUACUUGGUGUUACUGCGAAGGGGGGACGGAGAAGGCUAUGUUGGCCGGGCGACGGUUGUCCCGGUUUAAGCGUGUAGGCUGGUUUUCCAGGCAAAUCCGGAAAAUCAAGGCUGAGGCGUGAUGACGAGGCACUACGGUGCUGAAGCAACAAAUGCCCUGCUUCCAGGAAAAGCCUCUAAGCAUCAGGUAACAUCAAAUCGUACCCCAAACCGACACAGGUGGUCAGGUAGAGAAUACCAAGGCGCUUGAGAGAACUCGGGUGAAGGAACUAGGCAAAAUGGUGCCGUAACUUCGGGAGAAGGCACGCUGAUAUGUAGGUGAGGUCCCUCGCGGAUGGAGCUGAAAUCAGUCGAAGAUACCAGCUGGCUGCAACUGUUUAUUAAAAACACAGCACUGUGCAAACACGAAAGUGGACGUAUACGGUGUGACGCCUGCCCGGUGCCGGAAGGUUAAUUGAUGGGGUUAGCGCAAGCGAAGCUCUUGAUCGAAGCCCCGGUAAACGGCGGCCGUAACUAUAACGGUCCUAAGGUAGCGAAAUUCCUUGUCGGGUAAGUUCCGACCUGCACGAAUGGCGUAAUGAUGGCCAGGCUGUCUCCACCCGAGACUCAGUGAAAUUGAACUCGCUGUGAAGAUGCAGUGUACCCGCGGCAAGACGGAAAGACCCCGUGAACCUUUACUAUAGCUUGACACUGAACAUUGAGCCUUGAUGUGUAGGAUAGGUGGGAGGCUUAGAAGUGUGGACGCCAGUCUGCAUGGAGCCGACCUUGAAAUACCACCCUUUAAUGUUUGAUGUUCUAACGUUGACCCGUAAUCCGGGUUGCGGACAGUGUCUGGUGGGUAGUUUGACUGGGGCGGUCUCCUCCUAAAGAGUAACGGAGGAGCACGAAGGUUGGCUAAUCCUGGUCGGACAUCAGGAGGUUAGUGCAAUGGCAUAAGCCAGCUUGACUGCGAGCGUGACGGCGCGAGCAGGUGCGAAAGCAGGUCAUAGUGAUCCGGUGGUUCUGAAUGGAAGGGCCAUCGCUCAACGGAUAAAAGGUACUCCGGGGAUAACAGGCUGAUACCGCCCAAGAGUUCAUAUCGACGGCGGUGUUUGGCACCUCGAUGUCGGCUCAUCACAUCCUGGGGCUGAAGUAGGUCCCAAGGGUAUGGCUGUUCGCCAUUUAAAGUGGUACGCGAGCUGGGUUUAGAACGUCGUGAGACAGUUCGGUCCCUAUCUGCCGUGGGCGCUGGAGAACUGAGGGGGGCUGCUCCUAGUACGAGAGGACCGGAGUGGACGCAUCACUGGUGUUCGGGUUGUCAUGCCAAUGGCACUGCCCGGUAGCUAAAUGCGGAAGAGAUAAGUGCUGAAAGCAUCUAAGCACGAAACUUGCCCCGAGAUGAGUUCUCCCUGACCCUUUAAGGGUCCUGAAGGAACGUUGAAGACGACGACGUUGAUAGGCCGGGUGUGUAAGCGCAGCGAUGCGUUGAGCUAACCGGUACUAAUGAACCGUGAGGCUUAACCU